rnacentral:sRNA from 1 species
UUGCAUUCUGAAUGUGGGAAAUAGGUUGGAGGUGACUCGGUGCUUUACUCCCUCAGCGGUCGUUUCCUGAUAAGAACGUUUCCCUUCAAACCCACAAUACUUGUUUCUCCUCUGCAAAUAAUUAAUAAUUCUUUGACACCAUUUGGGAACCUGCCCAUAUUCAAUUUCCUUCAUUGCGGUUUUGUGGCUGGAGAGAUUUGUCACGUAAUGAGACAAAUGGGACCUGGGAAAUUGUCACCCUUUCUUCUAAGGGGAAAAGGAAAAUCCACUAUUUCUAGUGAGGUUAAAGUCUCUUCCCAGUGCAAGAUGGCUUUUGAGGCUCCAAGAACCCCUGUGAAGACCAAAGACAAUUUAUGAGAGGGUUGGAGUGAAGGCGGCUGUAACCGAUCUCCAGAGUGCGCUGAACGAGUUCAGGCUUGGAAGGGUGGCAUGCACUGCUUUGAGUGCAUGCUCUGAAGGACGCACUGACAGCCACAGAAAGCACCUUACAUGCCUAAGGCAGUGCUGGGUGGCCCCCUGAGCGUGGGCUCCUUCCUGAUCACACUGCUGCAAGCUACAAUUCCCAACAGCGACACGAGGACAGGACCAGACGAUGAUGAAUGCCGUGCUGGGGGCCCCAAAGACGAGGGAUUAAUAUAGACAACAGGAUGAGCUCCACGGAGCAGGACCACGGUGACGGGAACAAAGCCACUCGUGAGGCAUGGGACAUACACAAUAUCGUCUUAACAUCUGAGCUUAAUACUUACGCCAUAUGUGUGCAGGGCCACCUUAUGAAUACUCGAAUGACAUAGAUGAGGGAGAGUUCUUUGGCCACCAUCCUGAACCUAGGUCCAUCCUUCCAUGCCCCGUCCAGAGAGGAAUAUGCACCACGUACAUCCUUCGGGUCACCGCGACGGAGCGCCCGAGAUCUGCAACGUACAACAGCAGCAGCUACAACAUGCAGGAUUUGUUUUAGCUCAAGCCUCAGAAGUCUCAGCCCACAGACACUUGGCCUGGUGACCUUUGACCUGUGAUGAGGUAAUACAUCAUGGUGGCUGAAAGCCAAUCACCUCCUGACAACCGAGAAGCAAAAGAAAGACCAAAGGAUCCAGGCGCAGUCAGACCCAUCCAGGGCACAUUCCCACCCAGACUUUCUCCAGAGAGUUACCACCAUUUCAAGUCUGCGCUGCUUCCGCAGUCCCUAAAACUGCGAAGCCACCGAUGAUUUCAGACCUCCAACUUGCCAGUCGCCUUCCAAACACCCCACCUCUUAGCACUGCUGUACAGGGGACAGAGCCUUCAAGACCUGGGCAGAGGGUAAACCUUUGGAUUUAAACCAGCACCACCUUUGAACUGCAGUAGAAUGAAAAACCAAGAUGUGGCCCUGACAAGAUUAACUCUUGGGGAUGAUGAAGUGACCCACUGUUCCAGUUCCCUGCCUGAUCCUGCCUUACCUGAUGCUGUUUCCAGAGGCUUGCCUCCAGAACAUCCUCGGGAGCAGCUGCUGGUCCCUGAUGGCCUUGGUUCAUCCAGCCCUUCCGACGGUUCCAAUCGGACUUCAGUUAAGCCUUCAACUUUCUAAGCUACAGAGACUGGAUAACAAACGCUAAAGCUAGCUUUCUUAAGUAUAACCAGUUUUCUAACUUUCCUGCUCCUCUCUGCCCCUUCAAAAAGGAAUCCUUCACCCCAAUUCAGCAGGAAGAAGUUAUGGAGAGUCACUGUCCUGUCUGGUUAUGGUUAUUUGUAUAAAUUAUAGAUUUUUGUCAUAUUAAGGGAUAAUUUGGAAAUGGUUAUAAUUUUGGACAGGAAGGAAACUAGAGUGCUUAGACUCUGGGAUUUCUAUCUUUCCUUUCCUCUACCUUUUCCUUUCUUAGGUAAAUGGAAGGGGAUUGAAAAAAUGCAGAUAGAGUAAUAUUAUAAGAAAUUAGAUAUAUGGGAAGGGAUUACUAAAUUUACUCUUUUUUUUUUUUCUCGGA